GACGAACGCUGGCGGCGUGCCUAAUACAUGCAAGUUGAGCGCUGAAGGUUGGUACUUGUACCAACUGGAUGAGCAGCGAACGGGUGAGUAACGCGUGGGGAAUCUGCCUUUGAGCGGGGGACAACAUUUGGAAACGAAUGCUAAUACCGCAUAAAAACUUUAAACACAAGUUUUAAGUUUGAAAGAUGCAAUUGCAUCACUCAAAGAUGAUCCCGCGUUGUAUUAGCUAGUUGGUGAGGUAAAGGCUCACCAAGGCGAUGAUACAUAGCCGACCUGAGAGGGUGGUCGGCCACAUUGGGACUGAGACAAGACCCAAACUCCUGCGGGAGGCAGCAGUAGGGAAUCUUCGGCAAUGGACGGAAGUCUGACCGAGCAACGCCGCGUGAGUGAAGAAGGUUGUCGGAUCGUAAAACUCUGUUGGUAGGGAAGAACGUUGGUGAGGGUGGAAAGCUCAUCAAGUGACGGUAACUACACAGAAAGGGACGGCUAACUACGUG
rnacentral:rRNA from 1 species